rnacentral:sRNA from 1 species
CUGGGGGGGAUACCCACCGGCUGAAGGCCGACUGUGAUUCCCUCUACCCCCACAAGGCGAUUUUGACCUCCUGAGGGCUGCUCUAGAGGACUCAGGCCCCGAAGCUGUCCCAGGGAGGUCCCCGCUGCAUCCCAUCACCCAAACUGUGCCUCAUGGAGUCGAUGUUUAGCAGCCCUGCCGAGGCGGCGCUGCAGCGAGAGGCCGGGAUGCCAGGACUGCUCACUCCUCUUCCGGACCUGGACCGAGUGUACGAGCUGGAGCGAGUCGCUGGAUUUGUCCGCGACCUGGGGUGUGAACGAGUUGCCUUGCAGUUCCCUGACCAGCUAUUGGGAGAUGCUGUGGCUGUGGCUGCACGACUGGAGGAGACGACAGGGUCAAAGAUGUUCAUUCUGGGUGACACAGCCUACGGCAGCUGCUGCGUGGAUGUGCUGGGUGCUGAGCAAGCUGGAGCUCAGGCUGUCAUACAUUUUGGCCCUGCCUGCUUAAGCCCCCCAGCCCGCCCACUGCCCGUCACCUUCGUGCUUUGUCGACGUUCUGUGGCCUUGGAGCUCUGUGUCAAGGCCUUUGAGGCCCAGAACCCAGACCCCAAAGCGCCUGUGGUGCUGCUGAGUGAGCCGGCCUGUGCCCAUGCCCUGGGUAAGGGGUUUUGCCUGUGUAUGCAGAAAGGGUGGGCCAACUGCUUUAUGCCUUAAUUUCCCUAUUUCCAUAUACCGUCCAUAUGGGUUGGCCUCAGCCUACUGGGUCAUAUUUAGUCUUCUGGGGAUGAGGGAGCUCCUGCUUUGCCAGGCUCCAACCUCGACACUACCUCCUUCUCUUCCAGAGGCUUUGGCUACUCUCCUGCGCCCGCGGUACCUGGACCUGCUAGUCUCUAGCCCAGCUUUUCCCCUACCAGUGGGUUCCCUGAGUCCAGAGCCUAAACCCCUGGAGCGUUUUGGGCGCCGCUUCCCCCUUGCCCCAGGGAGGCGUCUAGAAGAGUAUGGUGCCUUCUAUGUAGGGGGCUCUAAGGCCAGCCCUGACCCGGACCUUGACCCAGACCUGAGUCGGCUGCUCUUGGGGUGG